AUAUUGGACAAUGGGGGAAACCCUGAUCCAGCCAACACGCGUGCAUGAUGAAGGCCUUCGGGUUGUAAAGUACUUUUGGUAUAGAAGAAAAGGUAUCGCCUAAUACAGGAUACUGCGGACGGUAUCUGCAGAAUAAGCACCGGCGAACUACGAGCCAGCAGCACAGGUAUUACGUAGGGUGCAAGCGUAAAUCGGAAUUACUGGGCGUAAAGCGUGUGUAGGCGGUUCGGAAUGAAAGAUGUGAAAUCCCAGGGCUCAACCUUGGAACUGCAUUUUUAACUGCCGAGCUAGAGUAUGUCAGAGGGGGGUAGAAAUCCACGUGUAGCAGUGAAAUGCGUAGAUAUGUGGAGGAAUACCGAUGGCGAAGGCAGCCCCCUGGGAUAAUACUGACGCUCAGACACGAAAGCGUGGGGAGCAAACAGG
rnacentral:rRNA from 1 species